CGUAACAAGGUUUCCGUAGGUGAACCUGCGGAAGGAUCAUUACUGAUUUGCUUAAUUGCACCACAUGUGUUUUUCUUUGAAACAAACUUGCUUUGGCGGUGGGCCCAGCCUGCCGCCAGAGGUCUAAACUUACAACCAAUUUUUUAUCAACUUGUCACACCAGAUUAUUACUAAUAGUCAAAACUUUCAACAACGGAUCUCUUGGUUCUCGCAUCGAUGAAGAACGCAGCGAAAUGCGAUACGUAAUAUGAAUUGCAGAUAUUCGUGAAUCAUCGAAUCUUUGAACGCACAUUGCGCCCUCUGGUAUUCCGGAGGGCAUGCCUGUUUGAGCGUCGUUUCUCCCUCAAACCGCUGGGUUUGGUGUUGAGCAAUACGACUUGGGUUUGCUUGAAAGACGGUAGUGGUAAGGCGGGAUCGCUUUGACAAUGGCUUAGGUCUAACCAAAAACAUUGCUUGCGGCGGUAACGUCUACCACGUAUAUCUUCAAACUUUGACCUCAAAUCAGGUAGGACUACCCGCUGAACCUAAGCAUAUC
rnacentral:misc_RNA from 1 species